rnacentral:rRNA from 1 species
UGAAUACGAGAUGCUACGGCAUUGAAGCAGUGUAUGUCAGACUUCCAAGAAAAGCUCGCAAUGUCAUAAACAAUAAAUGCCUGUACCAUAACCGACACAGGUGGGUAGGUAGAGUAUACUAAGGGGCGCGAGAUAACUCUCUCUAAGGAACUCGGCAAAAUGACUCCGUAACUUCGGGAGAAGGAGUGCCUUAUUUUAUAAGGUUGCAAUAACAAGAUCCAAGCAACUGUUUACCAAAAACACAGGUCUCCGCUAAGUCGAAAGACGAUGUAUGGGGGCUGACGCCUGCCCAGUGCCAGAAGGUUAAAGAAGUUGGUUAGCUUCGGCGAAGCUGAUGACUGAAGCCCUGGUGAACGGCGGCCGUAACAAUAACGGUCCUAAGGUAGCGAAAUUCCUUGUCGGGUAAGUUCCGACCCGCACGAAAGGCGUAAUGAUUUGGAUACUGUCUCGGAGAGGGGCUCGGUGAAAUAGACUUGUCUGUGAAGAUGCGGACUACCUGCACCUGGACAGAAAGACCCUAUGAAGCUUUACCGUAACUUGAGAUUGAAAUUGGACUUUAUUUGCGCAGUAUAGGUGGGAGACGUUGAGAAUAUUCUUGCGGGAAUAUUGGAGUCAUCAGUGAGAUACCACUCUUGUAAUGUUAGAUUUCUAACUUUGUAUCAUUAUCUGGUCAAAGGACAGUUUCAGGCGGGCAGUUUGACUGGGGCGGUCGCCUCCUAAACGGUAACGGAGGCGCACAAAGGUUUCCUCUGAACGUGUAGAAAUCGUAUCUAGAGUGUAAAGGCAUAAGGAAGCUUGACUGUGAGACCUACAAGUCGAGCAGGGACGAAAGUCGGUCUUAGUGAUCUGACGGUGCUGAGUGGAAAGGCCGUCACUCAACGGAUAAAAGUUACUCUAAGAUAACAGGCUGAUCUCCCCCAAGAGUUCACAUCGACGGGGAGGUUUGGCACCUCGAUGUCGGCUCAUCGCAUCCUGGGGCGGUAGUACGUCCCAAGGGUUGGGCUGUUCGCCCAUGAAAGCGGUACGCGAGCUGGGCUCAGAACGUCGUGAGACAGUUCGGUCCAUAUCCGGUGUAGGCGUUAGAAUAUUGAGAGGAGCCUUCUUUAGUACGAGAGGACCGAGAAGGACAUACCUCUGGUGUACCAGUUAUCGUGCCAACGGUAAACGCUGGGUAGCUAUGUAUGGAGUGGAUAACCGCUGAAAGCAUCUAAGUGGGAAGCCCACCUCAAGAUAAGUAUUCUC